rnacentral:sRNA from 1 species
GUUUGUAUUUUAAAGGAAACUAGAUUCUGACCCGCACAUACGUGCGGGGUUUCAUAUUUUAAGAAAUGUAUUAGAAUACAUUUUUAGUGAAAGAUAUUGUAGUGUAUAAAUUAUAAUGUGCAUAGAAAAGUGUAUAGUGUUAUUUAUGAUAUA